rnacentral:lncRNA from 1 species
AAUUAUUUGACAAAAUAUGUCAAAUAAUUCCAUUGCACAUCAUUGUGGUAGGGUUUUUCGUUUAGCAUAUUCCUCAUUAUGAAUAGGUCUGUUCAGGAUGAUUUGUUUGUGGAUUAGACCUAGGCCUGGUUAUUUGCUUUAUUAUUGAAGGCACGAAAAUCCUUUGUUUUCGUGCUCUUUGAUCUAAUUAAGUAGACUGAACGGUCUGGUGCUCAUCGCUUAGCUCGAGCGCCCAAGACUGAUGGCUCUGAGAUGGGGGUGAUUUCGCUUUAACGACCCAUAAAAACUUCACUAGGGACAGUUUUUUUUCGUUCGUGUUUAUAGGCUAAGGUUAGAAUAGCGUAGCCUUAAAUUUCUGUCAGAUUUGCCGACUUUAUUUGGGUCCAGUAUUGAAUGCCCGCGAUGUUAACGUCCGAAUGCAUUUCUGCAUUUGACAGACGGACCCACGAGCCUGGGUAGGCCUACGUGUGUGGCACGAGACAAAUCUUCUCAAACCGAUCACCACUGAUUUAUCUCCCUUCGAUCGGCAAAUGCGAGCCAUGUUCUAGAAUAAAUUAUUCCCGUCAAAGAGGCAGAUAAUACAACAAAUGAUGCAUCAUCCUCUUCGUAUAUGGUCACUGCACGGUUAAUUAAAGCUCAAUUUCAUUGGUCAAAUUCAGCUAAUGUUGCCUAUUUUAGGCUAUGUAAAUAGACAAACUUUCAAAUAUGAAUCCGGUUAUUUAUUUGUUUAAUAUUAGCCAUAUAUCUUAACACUGGGCCAUUUGUUUUCAGCAACCGAUUGGUUAUUUUCGUUGAUAAUCUGAUAAGAGUCCCGGAGCGCACGGGAAUAACGGAGGACUGAUGGCCACGUCUGAACCGACAGCCGCUGGCGGGGACCAGGACCCCAACUCCGCCAAUUUACGACCUUCAUCCACAAACUAUGACGCGUGGAUGCAAGGAUGCACGCGGAAACUGGGGAUGAAGAUCUGUGGUAAGUUUUAGACCCAUGAACCAUCAACAACGGCAAUCUAAUUUGAUUCACUGCAAUAGCCUACGAGAAACGUUGCCAUUUGACUUUGUAGGCAUAUGAAGCCUCAUAGGCCCAUCUCCAUACCCAGCAUAAUGAUGCUAUAAUAUGCUAAUAUUAGGGCAAGGCCGUCGCUGACUGUCACUCCACAUUCUCAUCUCCUAAAGGUCAGUUGGCAAUUAGCUUUAGGCCAAGCACGGCGCGCCGGGGUUCCCGCCCCGACCCCGCGAGGCACCCCAUGUCCCUUCCUAUCCAUAUCUCUGCAGUUGGCAAAGGACAGGAUACAGGCCUACACUACAGCAAGUAACAAUCCGCCUCAGAAAUGUAGAAAAUGCCUAAACAUUUAAUAUUUGUCGAGAUAGAGCUGUCCAAUAGGUUUUUAAUGCAGAAUUAGCUGCUAACAUGGUGUGUGCAUAAACUAGGGCUACAGACUAAAUAAUACAUGUUCUAAUUCCAGUUUUGUAUUUUAUUUUAUUAUCAACGCCUUAUUAUUUUUUUUAAACAUUAAUUUCCUCGCCUUUCCGUUUGGAGGUGGUAUGGAUUUGGGUAUCUUUAUGCAAA